ensembl:lncRNA
GCCUUUGUCCACAGUGAAUGAGAAAAUUAACUUAUUGUUCUUGGGGAGGGAGGAGACAUUGCUUAACCGCAAAGAGGAUUGGGUUGGAGGGAUGCAGCUGGAGGAAGAAGAGGGCAGUGAAGUAGGAUUCAGGGAAUCUCACUCUGUCACGGCCUGCUGUGUACCUCUGAACUUUGUGUGUUUUCUCAUCCUUAAAAUGAGGAUAAUAAUAAUAUUGGCCUUAUAUGGGAUGUCUGAGACACCAAAGGCAAACGUGGAGACAGGAAUUCUAAGUGCAGGUCAUUGAAUUUGGAGGUGAUCUACGGGAGCACAGCGAGGGAGUUGGCUCAAGUUGUCAAGAACGCCGGGUCAACAGGCAGUUCCGCUAAGCCGUAUCCAACUCUGUGAUCCCAUGGACUGGAGCCGGCCAAGCUUCUCUGUUCAUGAGGAUUCUCCAGACAAGAAUACUGCAGUGGGUUGCCAUGCCCUCCUCCAGGGGAUCUUCCCAACCCAGUCUCUUAGGAUCCAUCUCCCAUGAUUCAAGAAGUGUAACCUGCCCGCUGAGAAUCUCCCCUGGACAGGAAUUUGCCAGCCAUGGGAUGGGGCCAUCUUGGAAGUGGAUCCUUCAGCCUUAGUCCAGCUGACAUCUAGUGGAGCAGAGAUGAAUUGUCCCCACCGGGCUCUGGCCAAAUGAUAGAUUGGUUGCUUCUGGAAUUGUGACCUUCAUGCUGCAGAAGCGCUCUGAGGUCUCCAAGAGCUGUGGUCACACCAGCGCAGGGCACGUCCCUCAGGGAGCAUGGCCGUCUGCAGUUGGAUUUGGAGAGAUAAUCAAUGCUUUGUUUUGCUGCCUGAAAUAAAUGACACAAAAUUAACCUGAAUGCCAGGAUCAGGUAAUACACAUAUUAACCUGUCUGUCAGUCUGAUCACUCACCUAGAGCCAGACAUCCUGGAAUGCAAAGUCAAGUGGGCCUUAGGAAGCAUCACUAUGAACAAAGGUAGUAGAAGUGAUGGAAUUCCAGGUGAGCUUUUUCAAAUCCUAAAAGAUGAUGCUGUGAGAGUGUUGCACUCAAUAUGGCAGCAAAUUUGGAAAACUCAGCAGUGCCCCCAGGACUGGAAAUGGUCAGUUUUCAUUCCAAUCCCGAAGAAAGGCAAUGCCAAAGAAUGUUCAAACUACUGCACAAUUGUACUCAUCUCACACACUAGCAAAAUAAUGCUCAAAAUUCUCCAAGCCAGGCUUCAACAAUACAUGAAUCAUGAACUUCCAGAUGUUCAAGAUAUAUUUAGAAAAGGCAGAGGAACCAGAGAUCAAAUUGCCAACAUCUAUUGGAUCAUCGAAAAAGCAAGACAGUUCCAGAAAAACAUCUACUUCUGCUUUAUUGACUAUGCCAAAGUCUGACUGU